AUGAGUUGUUUCCACCUAGCACAGAAAACGUGCCGGAACCUGACUUCGAUCUCGUCGAAAUUCUGGUGGGGUGGAAUAAAUGACGAAAGGAAAGUGCAUUGGAUCUCAUGGGAGAAAAUGUGCGCUCCAAAGAGAGAUGGUGGGCUUGGCUUCAGAGACCCGAUGGCCUUCAACCAAGCACUGUUGGCAAAGCAAGCAUGGAGGAUUUUGACGGUGCCGGAGUCUUUGGUGGCUAGAGUUAUCAAGGCUAGACAUUUCAAGGACAACACAAUAUUAACAGCCACUUGUCCUUCUAAUGUGUCCUAUACUUUCAGAAGUGUACUGCAUGGUAGAGAUUUGCUGCGGAGUGGACUCAUCUGGAGAAUUGGUGAUGGGUCAAAGGUGUUGAUCCAUCAUGACAACUGGAUUCCAAGAAAAGGAAAUUUGAGGCCGCUUGGACAAGAGUAUGUGCAUGGAAUGACCAAAGUGGCCGACUUGAUGGAUGAGGCCGGAUCAUCAUGGGGCAGUGAUAAAAUUGAUGCUGUGUUCAAGGCCAGCGAUGCGCAUGACAUUAAAUAG
rnacentral:rRNA from 1 species